rnacentral:ncRNA from 1 species
CUGAACUCAACGCUGUGCGAUUUUAAUUUUGGUUUCCAAAUUAUUUCAUUAGCUGGAACUCUUGGGGACGUAAUGUCCUCAACCUAUUCUCAAACUUUCAAUGGAUAUGAAGUCGCAGUUUCUUUAGUGAACUGCGGCAUGAAUGCGAGUUCCAAGUGGGCCAUUUUUGGUAAGCAGAACUGGCGCUGUGGGGUGAACCAAACGUGGAGAUAAGGUGCCUAACUUCUCGCUUAUGAGACCCCAUAAAAGGUGUAGGUUGAUAUUGGCAGCAGGACGGUGGUCAUGGAAGUCGGUACCCGCUAAGGAGGCUCUCGGACGUUUCGAAAGUGGAUGUUUCAAGAGUUUUUCUGCAUUUUGUCGUCGCGGUGCUUGAGGAAUUUCCGUCAAAAAGCUUUUUAAAAUUAUUGUGUGAAACACUGCGUCGACAAAAUCCAUAAAAGCCUUCGAAAAGUCCACUUUCGAACGUCCGGGAGCCGCUAAGGAGUGUGUAACAACUCACCUGCCGAAUCAACUAGCCCUGAAAAUGGAUGGUGCUUAAGCGAGAGACCUAUACUCCGCCGUCGUGGCAUGUGCGUUGUCUAGCGCCAGAUCGCGACGAGUAGG